UAGGGAAUCUUCGGCAAUGGGGGGAACCCUGACCGAGCAACGCCGCGUGAGUGAAGAAGGUUUUCGGAUCGUAAAGCUCUGUUGUUAAGGAAGAACGAGUGUGAGAAUGGAAAGUUCAUACUGUGACGGUACUUAACCAGAAAGGGACGGCUAACUACGUGCCAGCAGCCGCGGUAAUACGUAGGUCCCGAGCGUUGUCCGGAUUUAUUGGGCGUAAAGCGAGCGCAGGCGGUUAGAUAAGUCUGAAGUUAAAGGCAGUGGCUCAACCAUUGUAGGCUUUGGAAACUGUUUAGCUUGAGUGCAGAAGGGGAGAGUGGAAUUCCAUGUGUAGCGGUGAGAUGCGUAGAUAUAUGGAGGAACACCGGUGGCGAAAGCGGCUCUCUGGUCUGUAACUGACGCUGAGGCUCGAAAGCGUGGGGAGCGAACAGG
rnacentral:rRNA from 1 species